AACCAAAGAGGGAGAAAGAAGAUGCGGAGGAAGAGAAGAAGGAAUGGAGAGACCAUGUGGAAAGACCAGAAGGAACACACUGAAGGCCACUAACUUCUCUGUGAAAACAUCUUCUGCUGAAGAAAGAAUGAACUCAGAAACUGUAGCAGCUUUAGAAGAACACAUCCUUUGCCAUGUCUCAUGGCUUCUGCCCAUACUUAAAAAUAAAUUCAUAAGCUCACA